AGUGAAGUGAUCUGGGCUUCCACUGGGGGCUUCCAGCUUUUAAAAACUCCCUGGGUGAUUAGUGUGCAGCCAAGUUUGGGUACUAUUGGUUUAAUCCAUCAUUUUUACAGGUUUGGAGAGGGGUUUUGGGGGGUAGGGGUGGAGGUGGGAAGUGGGCAAUAGGGGGUGUCACAGAUGUCGAAUUGGAUAAAAACUUUUGUCCCUCAAUCCAGGCACUUGCAUUUAGAUGUAAAACCUGGCAUAGUAUUUCAGGGUAUUUACAGAUCCCAGGAAGUGAACCAGGGAAUGCCUGUGAGCCGUGUGGUCCCCAAGUGAGAAAAGUCCAGCUGCAGGAGUGUCCACCUCCAAUCGGGGUGACAGGAGCUCUCUUGUCCUAUCCAGAAUGGUGCUGGCCCUUUGUCUCAGUCUUUUUGUGCUGUAAUAACAAAGUACCCAAGACUGGGUAAUUUGUAAAAAGCAAAACAACAACAACAAACCAGGAAUUUAUUUCCCACAGCUUCUGAAGUCUGGGAAGUCCAAGCUCAAGGUGAAGUCUCCUCAGGUGGCAGAGAGCAGAAGCACACAAGAGACCAAACUCCCUCCCUCAAGCUCUUUUACAAGAACACUCAGACAUUCACAAGAGCUGAACCCUCAAGCCUACUCACCUCCUGAAGGCUACACCUCUAAUACGGAUUGAACUUUCGCAUGAGUUUUGAGGGAGAGCCAUUCAAAGCCUAGCACCCUUCGACUUCAGAGAAGCUCCGGCCCUGCUCUCACCAAGCCGGUUCCCCUUAGGCAGAGCGCCAAGAAGCAGCCCAGGCGAUCCCAAGGCUCACAAGUGCUCUCAUCAGGCUGCGCGCUGGCCGGUCAGUGCACCAGGGCAGGGCCGCCGCCCACGCGCGCUUGGUUCAGGCAGUCCAGGCUGCCCCCACUGGCGGCUACAAAAGCGCGCCGAGUCUUCCUGUCCACCCAGUCGCCCCACAUGUCAGCGGUUGGUCGCCUCGCGGUGCAGCGCUGGGCACGCAAGCCCCUCCCGCAGCCAUUCGCAGCACAAGCACCACCCGCAGCGACAGAGCUAAGAGCCCCCACGCCGCAGAGGUCGCGCGGAGCAGAUUUGAUGGAGUGAAACAGAGCCCAGCUGCUGGAGCAGAGGCACCUGCUCGAGUCCCACGGACACCCGCAGCCCAAUCCCCGGAGGCCAGUGGGGCUCACGGCCUAAGGCAAUAGCUAAUUGAGACUAUGCAUCAAUAUUCAGGCAUCGUCACUAAAGGGCACUGCGGAAGCGCUGCGUGAGAUGCGGCACCUGUCAGAAAGGGGGCUGCAUUUCAAAUGAGGAAUAUCGUAUUGUAUCACAAUAAAGUUAGUGUCCAGAGGGAACUUCCGCAGUACUGUGUUUUCUAAUGUGCUGAGUGAUAUUGUAGAUUUUUUUUUUUUUGGCUGGAAUUUCUAUGAAUACAUUUGAAGUAAAAGUGUUUUUUUAAUAUUUAAUUUUGUGGCUGGGUGCAGUGGUUCAUGCCUGUAAUCCCAGCACUUUGGGAGGCUGAGGCAGGCAGAUCACGAGGUCAAGAGAUCUAGACCAUCCUGGCCAACGUGGUGAAACCCCGUCUCUACUAAAAAUACUGGGCGUGGUGGCGCGCAUCUGUAGUCCCAGCUCCUAGGGAGGCUGAGGCAGGAGAAUGGCUUGAACCCGAGAGGCGCAUGUUGCAAUGAGCCAAGAUUGCUC
ensembl:lncRNA